AACGAACGCUGGCGGCAGGCUUAACACAUGCAAGUCGAACGGGUGUAGCAAUACAUCAGUGGCAGACGGGUGAGUAACACGUGGGAACCUUCCUAGGGGUACGGAACAACUCAGGGAAACUUGAGCUAAUACCGUAUACGUCCGUAAGGAGAAAGAUUCAUCGCCCCUAGACGGGCCCGCGUCGGAUUAGGUAGUUGGUGGGGUAACGGCCUACCAAGCCUACGAUCCGUAGCUGAUCUGAGAGGAUGAUCAGCCACACUGGGACUGAGACACGGCCCAGACUCCUACGGGAGGCAGCAGUGGGGAAUCUUGGACAAUGGGCGCAAGCCUGAUCCAGCCAUGCCGCGUGAGUGAAGAAGGCCUUAGGGUUGUAAAGCUCUUUUACCAGGGGCGAUAAUGACGGUACCUGGAGAAUAAAGCCCCGGCAAACUUCGUGCCAGCCGCCGCAGUAAC
rnacentral:rRNA from 1 species